AGUGACGAUUUAUUUAAAAUGUUGUGUUGGCGCCGUGGAUUACACAACACCUCCAAAGAAGAUUAUGACGUCCGUGGACAACUGCACUCCACAUACUUCACAACCGACUUCUCUUGUAUUAUUUUAUUGUUUAUAUUAGUCCACACGGAAUCUUUCAUAUUCAAGAUUGUUGAAUUUUGAUACUAUUAUUUUGUCCGGCAUCUUCAGUGGUCAAACCUUAGCGUUGGCUGUGAUAUGAUAUGUUCAGCUGUCACGAUAGUGGAACUUUAAUUUGUAAAUAAUGUAAGUAAAAUUAUUAUC